rnacentral:rRNA from 1 species
AUGCAGACAUCUUUAGCAAGAUGCAACGAGUGCGUCGUGUACCAUAAUUGGCACUGCAAGGGUGACUGGAAAAAGCGUUUCGUCAAGAUUGUCACCGGUGAUUUUGUGGAUGUACCAAGAAAGUUUUUAGUAAAUAAUAUGAGAGGACAGAUACCUGACGAAGUCAAUCUUGAUUUACCUAAUGGUAAAGCAUAUACUGUUCAGGUUUCGAAGCAAGAGAAUGGCCUCAUCUUUCAAUCUGGAUGGGCAGAAUUUGCCAGAACUUAUGAACUCGUACAGGGUGAUAUCUUAUUGUUUGAAUCCAGUGGAAGCUCCUGCUUUGAAGUUCGAAUAUUCAAUCAAACUGGCUGUGAGAAAGAGUUAUCCUGUGUUGCGAUGAAAAACACUCCUUGUCUCAAUGAAAAGAGCAUGCCGCAUGAUAAUGAUAUGCAGUCGCCAAAAAAUGAAAGGUGUGGUAACAUGAGUGGCAAAAGUCACACGAUAUGCAAGGUGUGUGCUGCAUUUUAUUAUUGGCACCAUAUGGAUAAAAUGCGUUUCUUCAUGGUUAUGAUGGGUGUCAGGGCCUCAAAAAAUGAACUGACCAUACCUAAAGAGUUCGCAAACAAUGUCAGAGGGAAAAUAUCUGACGAAAUAAAGCUGGAAGUCCCAGAUGGACAAACAUAUAGAGUUCAGGUUGACAAGGAACCGAAUGAAGUAGUCCUUCGAUCUGGAUGGGAUGCAUUUGUUAGUGCCUAUGAACUUAAAGAGGGUGACACAUUGUUGUUUGCGUAUACUGGGAACUCCCACUUGAAAGUUCAAAUCUUCAAUGUAAGUGGUUGUGAUAAAUUGUUAUCGUGCGUCAUGAAGAAUAAUCCUAUGCGAUCACCUAGAGAAAGUAUGAAGAAACUAUGCACAGUGUGCCUAGAAUGUGUUGAUCGCCACUAUUGGCACAUGAAAGAUCAUGAUUGGUGUUUUGUCAAGGUUAUGAGUCUGAGUAAUUUCAAGGAUGAAAUGGCCAUACCAGAUGAGUUCACCACUAAUUUCAGAGGACACAUUUCUGAUAAAGUCAAACUAGAAGUAGCAGAUGGCAACAUUUAUAAUGUUCAGGUUGCCAAGGAACAGGAUAAGUUUAUUCUUCGAUCAGGGUGGGUGGACUUCACCGGUGUUUAUGAACUUCAACAGUAUGACUCCCUGUUCUUUAUAUAUAGUGGGGACUCCCACUUCAAAGUUCGAAUCUUGAAACCAAGUGGUUGCGAGAAAGCGUCGUCAUGUGUUACAAUGAGCCGUGGUCCUAAUGUCCAAGAAAGGGUCAUUUGUCAUGCUCUAUCACUACCUAGCAUAAAAAGAUGUAGAAAUGACAAUUGGACGGACAAUUCGAAAACUGCAAAGGUUACUCCAACGGACUCACCUUCACAGAAAUCAAGUUCAGAAAUGAACACACAAGAUGUCACAUCUUCAAAAUAUAUUCCAGAACCAAGGAGUUCAGGUGGCCUUCCGGGGUCCACUGAAUCACGAUACAUCUUAGAAAAGGGCUGUAUACUGACUAGCGCUCAGAAGGCAAGAGUCGACACAUUUGUGAAGGAAAGUUGGACUGGAAUCCAAUUUUAUGUCACAGUCAUGAACGAGAAAAGUCUGUCUGAUGGAUGUCUGGUCAUCUGCAAGGAUUUUGCAGCCAAACACCUUCCGCACAAAGACCAGACGAUCAAACUCUGUUAUCCUCAGAACAGCAAAACAUGGGAUGCCAAUUUGGCGGUUAUCACUGAUGGCGCAUGCACCCGUUCAUGCAUCCUUGCUGCUGGUUGGCUGGACUUUGUACGCGACAACAACUUGCGGGAAGGCGAUAUCUGCGCAUUCGAAGUGUCAAAGGACCAUGAUAGAGUGAUAAUAACGGUCCACCUCUUAAAGAAUGUCGUCGUAACAGGACAUACCAAAUCAACCAGCCAGCAGCAGAAGAAAUGGACUCACCCAGGCUAUGUGGUCACAAAAUACACCAAACUGACUUGCAAGCAGAAGAGAAAAAUCGAAGAGAGGAUCCAGGCUAUUAGACCUGAAACCAGAAUAUUCGUGUCCAUCAUCUAUAGCAGCCGUGCCAAGCUGUCCAUAGAAGUGCGAUAUGCUACCGCUCAUCUUCCACGCGAGGAGCAGUGGGUGAGGCUUCAACUGCCUGGGAAGAACCACACUUGGAAAGCCAAGCUCUAUAUCGGCGACAAGGACAAGGGCAAAUGUUACGCGCUACAAACAGGCUGGAAGAAGUUUGUAGAUGAUAACAAACUGCAGGAUGACGACAUGUGCCUGUUUGAGCUACUCAAGAAUGAGGAGCUCACCAUGAACGUCCACAUCAUUCGCGGAGAUUGA